rnacentral:rRNA from 1 species
GACGAACGCUGGCGGCGUGCUUAACACAUGCAAGUCGAACGGUGAAGCGCCUUCCUUUUUGGUGGGUGUGGAUGAGUGGCGAACGGGUGAGUAACACGUGAGUAACCUGCCCCCUUCUUCUGGAUAACCGCAUGAAAGUGUGGCUAAUACGGGAUAUUCUGGGUCUGUCGCAUGAUGGGUCUGGGAAAGAUAUUGUUUCGGUGGGGGAUGGGCUCGCGGCCUAUCAGCUUGUUGGUGGGGUGAUGGCCUACCAAGGCGGUGACGGGUGGCCGGCCUGAGAGGGUAGACGGUCACACUGGGAAUGAGACACGGCCCAGACUCCUACGGGAGGCAGCAGUGGGGAAUAUUGCACAAUGGGCGCAAGCCUGAUGCAGCGACGCCGCGUGAGGAAUGGAGGCCUUCGGGUUGUGAACCUCUUUCGCCAGUGAAGCAGGCCUGCCUCGUUUGUGGGUGGGUUGACGGUAGCUGGAUAAGAAGCGCCGGCUAACUACGUG